rnacentral:tRNA from 1 species
GACUGUCAAACAGGUGGUAGAGCGCAUCACUAGUAAUGAUGAGGUCUUCGGUUCGACUCCGAAUGGAGGCA